CGUACAUUGUAUUAGCGAGCUUUUAAAAACGACGCAAAAUACAAUAGUGAGAGUUAAUAACCGACGCAAAAAAAAGUGAAAUCCCUAAAACUAAAAAACUCAAAAUCCUAAGCCCUCUAUCUUCAAACGAUUCUCUUCAGCCACAUCUCCUCUUCAGCCCUCUCUGUAAAUGCAAAAUCCUUGCGAUUCUCUUCAGCUGCAUCUCCUCUUCAGACGACGAUGAGAACUCACCCUAAUCACCUCCUCUUCAGACGAUUCGACGGUGGUCUGUGGUCUCUCCUCUCCCGUGAGUUCCUUCGUACAACCUCUUGCAGUUUCUGAGUUCCAUCCUUCAAAACCUCUGGUGGUCAAAACCUCCCGUGAGUUCCUUCAGACGAUUCGACGAUGUUCAAGUCAGACGCUCCCUAUAGUAACGAGGAGAUAAAUGCAGUACGGGAUGAGUGGGCUGAAUUUGUGAGGCCUUUAAUUAUAGAUUAAGUACAAGGUUACUACUUCUGUUAUAUUACAUGAGUAACAAGUUUUAUGAUUAUUGUUAUCUUUUGCAUAUGUAAUUAGUUUAUAUUGAGUUUACAAUAUACAUGAAAUUUAAGUUUUAGGAUAGAUUCUAUUAGCAAUUUUGGUAUUGUGUGAUUAGUUAAUAGAAUCGAUUACUAAUUUUAUGUAAGUUUUAAAAAUGUUAUUUUAAUUUUGUUUGUAUUAUGUAUUUACUAUUAUAUAAAAUUAUUCUAAAAUUUGAUAAUGCAGGUGGGGAAAAUUGCAUGAAAAAUUUGCAAUUUUCCCUUACUUAUAUUUGUGCUUCA